CCCUGUAACAACAUAUUUCAGUUCAAACUGAAGUCAUCAGAGUGUAGAGUACCACAAAAAAACACUGUAAACUAGCUGUUAACCUGCCUGCCACAUAGUGUACUCUAGAAAGUUAAGAUACUUUGCUACUCUGUACAUAGGUGAAGUGAUCAAUAUGGAUUUACUGAGAUACCACCCAUGCCCAGAACUUUGCUGGAGAUACAGUGAUGAAUGAAAGCAACUAUGCCUGUUGUCAAGGAGCUUACACUGUGACAAGGGGGCAAAGAAGUAAAUACUUGAAUGUAAUAUGCAUAACAGGUGCUCUGACAGAAACCUACACCAGAUAUAAGAUGGUCACAAGUGGGGAUAGAUAUUUGCAUUAUGUAUUAUCAAAUCAGAUUUUACUAGGUAGUCAAGCUAACAUAAACUUUGGGAAUAAAAAAAAAACAGAUUUGGGAAAGGCCUUGAUGUAUGAAAAAUGGCAAGUUUAGAAAAGUUACAAAUAAGAUAGCAUGAUAUGAGAAUAGGAAAGAUUAGUUAGAAGGUGAUACAGUCCAGUCAGGUGAGAGAACAUGGAAUAAUUCUGAGUGUGUCUCUGGACCAUUAAAAUAUAUUUUGUAUACCCACUCAAUGGGUGUCUGCUUAUAAACAUAAAUUUAUAAUCGUCUUUAUUAAAAAUUGACAAGUUGUUUUUCUAUUUAUAAGAAACAAAAAUAUGAAUAGAUGUUCUACUGUUUCACACCAUUUUUAUACUUUGUGGUGUGUCCUACCACAUCUUAGGGAUGGUCACCCACUCACUCACAGAUAACAGGGAGCCACUGAAGAGACAGAUGUGAGGUGCUAGAGUUCGAGGGGGUAGCCUGGUAGUUGAGAAGAAAACACUGAAGUAGAAAAGGCAAAGACCACACCAGAAAUAUGGAGUGUUAGAAAAUCAGACGCAUAUGUGAACGGAAUGAUUAACAUUUAAAAUAGCCGCAAUGGGGGGAAGAAACAUACCUUCAUUGGAAAUGAAUAAUCAUUGAGAGAAGGGAAGAAUAACUCCCACAAUAUCUAUAGAGUUUGAUAAUAGCUAGAACCACAAGGCUAAUUAUUUUCAUUCUCCCAUUUUUAUUGGUAGGACUGUUUAAGGCUAUGAAAUUUCCUCCAGUCAUUGCUUUGUUUAUAUUUCACAGAACUUGACAUGUGAAAACGUGAAGAGCUUCUUUGCUGAAUUUAAGUUCUUGCUUCUUGUUUUAUAUAUAUAUGUUGGCAAUAAGAAUUAUGUCAAUAUUAUUUUCUUUCCUGGGCAAGUGACAUAGACUCUUUUCCCUCGUGAUCUAGAGGACUUUUUCUCUACUUUUAAGUAAGUCUAGUAGUUUUAGUAGACUCUCUCUUGGGGUUAACUACCCUGGGUCAGUUCUCUCUCACAGAGCCUUUUCAAUAAUGUAAUUCAGUUUCUUUUUUUUUUUUUUUUUUUAAUGGAAAGUUUCCUUGGAUUAAAUAUUAGCUCUCUUCCAGUAUUUAGGUUUUGUUAUUCAGGGAUUCUACUUUAUUUCCUGUUACUCUCUGUUCCUCUUUCUGGUUGAUUCUUACCAGCACUCCCACCCCCUCCUCCACUCCAUGGUCUCUUCCAAUUCCUCUGCCACAUGCCAGUUGCUGGACUUUGGAUUUCUCUUCCCCUGAGGAAGAGAAAUCAUUUAAUCUCUAACUGGACAGGAUUUUCUAUUCUACAAUUUCUUUCCUAAGUUAAUUUACUUAUAUUUUAUAUCUACUUAUUUUUCAGUUUCUGAGUCUUUAAUCUCUGGGUUUUAAAGUGAUUUCCUUUCUGAAACUCCCUAAUAUUGGAAAGGUAUACUCUCCUGUACUGUGCAUUUGUUUGGGGAGGAAUACUGACAUCAGUGGACAAAACGUUAGUUUACACUUUCUACUUUUUUCUCUCAGUAUUGUCUGCAUGUCGAGUAACAUUUUUUAUUCAUGAUCAAAUGAAAAUAAAACCUCAUUUUAUGGUCGGAAGGGAUGGAAGUGUUACCCUAGUCCUUAGUUCAAAAACCUCUCUCUGUUGCCAGAGUAUAUUCACGUUCUUGAAGGAAACAGCAGUACUGUGGGCAGUAUCUUCAGAGUCUGUGAUAAUAUACUCUUUUCUUUAGGACACCUGGUUUCAGCUGCAUGUUUUCUGAUUUGCCUUCACUUCCAAGCACACGAGGGAUUCUACUUCUUUUCCUCUGUAUUGCUGACUGCUUGAAGCUGCCAUCUGUUCCUGCACACAGUCUUACGUCCCUUCCUUUUUUUACUCCCAGUGCCAGUCCUUGGAUUCCCUGGUCUCAGACCCCUCCUGCAUCUACCCAGUCAGAGUGAGUGCCUCUGCCUGUGGCCACUUGAUCUUGUGUUGCUCUACAAUGGUGACUUCGCUGUCUUUCCUCUUCCAUCACUGCCAUUCUGACUUCCUGCUCUUGGAUGAGCUCCAAGCUGUUUCUGUUCAUGACAGUGAUCUCCCAACUUAUACAGAAACACAAGUUUCCUCUCUCCUAGCUAUACAGCAGGGGUGUAUAGUGGCGUGUUGGAACAUUUAUACCUUGCCAACUAACAUUAUUCUGUGGCAACUAGGAAAUCCAUAAAAGAAAACUGGAAAACAAAAGAAUCCGUUUGGCAGGAGACAGUUGAAUUUUGUUCACUUUUGUGAAAUUUUGUUCAAUUUUGUGAAGUGACUGAGGAACACAGAGCUGGAACUGUCCCAUUUGGGCAGAUAUACAUGAACUUUAGUUGUGCAAGAUGAAAAAAGUUCUGGAGAUGGAUGGUUAUGAUGAUGGUACCAUGAUGUGAAUGUAAUUAAAUGCCACUGAACGAUACAGUUAAAAAUGGUUAAAAUGAUAAACCAAACUCAGAAUUUUCCACCAGCAGACCUGCAUUAAAACAAGCAAGUGAGAAUAAAAACAACAUAAAUGAUGUUUUCAAACAGAAGAAAUGUAUGGCAAUACACCUGAAAGAUACAAGAAGAAAUAAAGAAAAGGUCAUCUCAUUUUGCCAAAAUGGCAAAAAGCAAACAAAAAAAUUACAGUAUCUGCAUAAAAUAAACCUUUCCAAUAGUCAGUAGUGAGACUACACUCAAAAUUACUUCAAAAAACAAAAACGCUGACUAGUCAUUUGUGCUGUCCAAACUCAAAUCUCAGUCAGAGAUUUACAGAGCAUAACGUGGGGGAAAUGUUGUGGAACUCCUGAAUGAAUUUUGGAUAUGGAGAAUGUCGUAAAAGAUGUACAAGAGUAAACCAGAACUGUUGAACAGACUGGUUUUUUUAAGCUUCCUCUUCCAUUAUUUCUCCCUCUUUCCAGAGACUCUUUCUCCCCGUCAUCAUGCCCAAAGAUUAGGAUUUUUAGUUAAUAUAAUCACUACCAUAAACCACUUCAAAAGCUGUGCUGUAAGAAUUACGAAAGACUGACUAUAUCAAGUGCUUAUCAAAGGCCUGGGAAAUUGGAAAAUACAGUUUUGUUUUGUUUUUUAAACAUUAAAUGAUAAAAGCAAAGAAAUGGUUACCACAGAAGUCAGGCUUCAUGUUUCUCUGGAUAAUGAAUGGUGAGAUGAGAAUAAGGAGGGACACACAGGGACUUCAAAGAUAGUAGUAAUUUUCAUUUCUUAAGACAGAUAAGGGAUACACCUAUGUUUCAUCAGUAUUCCCUAAAUUUUACAUAUACAUUAUGUACAUUCCUUUGAUUGCAUAAGUAUGAUUUUUAAAUAAAUUGAAAUUCAAUGUUUU